UCUCAGCGCUGGCAAGGUGUCAAUCCAAACUCUGCCACGAUCCGGGGGCUCACCCCCCUCUCUCUUGAGGGGGAGAAACCCAGGUGACGGGAGGGGACGCCUUGGAACGCGUCCGAAAGGACGCGGUCCGACAGGGCGUCCUGUAUUCCUCGGCUCGGGUAACACCGGCCGGGGGUCAGGCGUUUGCCGCACAGCCGUUGUAAAUUCGUAGGCAAAAGGGAAUCUGGUACUUACUCCGAAACCUCGUCCCGGAUAAAACGUCCCCGAG
rnacentral:rRNA from 1 species